GUGAAUCAUCAAAUUUUUGAACGCAAAUUGCACUCUCUGGUAUUCCGGAGAGUAUGCCUGUUUGAGGGUCAGUUUAAAUUAAAAUCGGGGUGGUUGCCGGCUUUCGUGGUUACGCACCGGAUUUGGGUCGGCCUGGCUUUGGGUAAGGGACCUAAAAUUUUGCAAGGUUUUUUUCGAACGUAUUUAAAUGAUUUUUAGGACGUUUGCGAUUU
rnacentral:misc_RNA from 1 species